rnacentral:misc_RNA from 1 species
GAUGAAGAACGUAGCGAAAUGCGACACUUGGUGUGAAUUGCAGAAUCCCGUGAACCAUCGAGUCUUUGAACGCAAGUUGCGCCCGAAGCCAUCAGGUUGAGGGCACGUCUGCCUGGGCGUCACAUAUCGUUGCCCAAUGCCUAUUGCAGUGCAAUAGGAAUUUCUAGGGCGAAUGAUGGCUUCCCGUGAGCGUUGUUGCCUCGCGGUUGGUUGAAAAUCGAGUCCUUGGUAGGGUGUGCCAUGGUAGAUGGUGGUCGAGUUAGAACGAUACCGAUCAUGUGCAUGCUCCCCAAAAUAUGGCCUCUAUGACCCACACGCGUCUUUUGACGCUCAUGACGAGACCUCAGGUCAGGCGGGGCUACCCGCUGAAUUUAAGCAUAUCAAUAAGCGGAGGA